GUAGGGAAUCUUCCACAAUGGGCGCAAGCCUGAUGGAGCAACACCGCGUGAGUGAAGAAGGGUUUCGGCUCGUAAAGCUCUGUUGUUAAAGAAGAACACGUAUGAGAGUAACUGUUCAUGCGUUGACGGUAUUUAACCAGAAAGUCACGGCUAACUACGUGCCAGCAGCCGCGGUAAUACGUAGGUGGCAAGCGUUAUCCGGAUUUAUUGGGCGUAAAGAGAGUGCAGGCGGUUUUCUAAGUCUGAUGUGAAAGCCUUCGGCUUAACCGGAGAAGUGCAUCGGAAACUGGAUAACUUGAGUGCAGAAGAGGGUAGUGGAACUCCAUGUGUAGCGGUGGAAUGCGUAGAUAUAUGGAAGAACACCAGUGGCGAAGGCGGCUACCUGGUCUGCAACUGACGCUGAGACUCGAAAGCAUGGGUAGCGAACAGGAUUAGAUACCCUAGUAGUCC
rnacentral:rRNA from 1 species